AGAGUUUGAUCAUGGCUCAGGAUAAACGCUGGCGGCGCACAUAAGACAUGCAAGUCGAACGGACUUAACCAUUAGUUUACUAUUGGAGCGGUUAGUGGCGGACUGGUGAGUAACACGUAAGCAACCUGCCUAUCAGAGGGGAACAACAGUUAGAAAUGACUGCUAAUACCGCAUAUGCCUUGAGUAUCGCAUGGUACAAAAGGGAAAGGAGCAAUCCGCUGAUAGAUGGGCUUGCGUCUGAUUAGAUAGUUGGUGUGGUAACGGCAUACCAAGUCGACGAUCAGUAGCCGGACUGAGAGGUUGAACGGCCACAUUGGGACUGAGAUACGGCCCAGACUCCUACGGGAGGCAGCAGUCGGGAAUAUUGCGCAAUGGAGGAAACUCUGACGCAGUGACGCCGCGUAUGGGAAGAAGGUUUUCGGAUUGUAAACCAUUUUAGACAAGGAAGAAACAAGACAGUACUUGUAGAAUAAGCUCCGGCUAACUACGUGCCAGCAGCCGCGGUAAUACGUAGGGAGCAAGCGUUAUCCGG
rnacentral:rRNA from 1 species